CUUGUCUCCCCUCUUUGGCUAACCCCUUCUUUCAGCAGGAAUCAGGCUGCAGCCAGCUGGCAGCUAGCACGCUAGCUCGAAUGCAGAGGCAGCGAGGUCUUGUUUUCAUUCUGUUUAGUUUACAGUUACAGUAUCUACUAUCUGCAACACGGGCUGUGGAGUUUCUAGCUAUAGUGCUAAAGUCCCAUAAAUUAAAAUUUAUCCACAGAAGAUACCCAUCAAAGGGCCAAUCUAGUGUCCAGGAUACAUAAAGCGAUCUUAAUUAUCAAUGAGAGAAAUCAAUAGAAAUUGAAAUAGAAAGACUCGGUCUUCACAAAGAGGAUACACGAGAUCCUUAAGUGCCAAGUUCAUCAGUCAUCUGAGAAAUGCAAAGUAAAGUCGCAGUGCCACAUUACUGACUCCCACCAGGGCUGACUCGAAGCUCACAGCCUCCAAUGCUGACCAGGGUGUGGAGUGUCCCAGGCAGGUAGGACAAACUGACAACUUAGGAAACAGUGGCCUCAACCAGAACUCAGCCACACUCAGCCAGGAAUUCAGUUCCUGGGGGUGAUUCCAACAGGAGGGAGUAAAAGCACUGACCAGAAGUCUCGCAUACAAGUGUGCACAACAGCUACGCAAAACAGCCCCAAACAGACCACAGUCAGAAACUGCUGUGUGUUCCUAGGAUGGAGUGGGUAUGAAAGAGAACUGAUGGAUUAAAGAAAAUCCCUAUUGCAUCAAAGAAGCCAAACUGGAAGAACAAUUCUGCUUCCAUCCAUGCCAAGAUCAGAGGGAGGUAAAACUAAAGCAUUCUUAAGCCUCAGACCCAGGUCUCCUGUGGCCUGGAGGAGGCGCUGCGCCCCAGCCAGUCUGCCUUCCCACGUGAAAAUCAUUUUCCCCAACCGUGUACUUCUUCGCACACACCUGACACAUCAAGGAAAAUUGCCUAGGGCUGGGGAGGAGCUCCAUGGUCCAGUGAGUGCUCAGCACCACAAGGCCUAAGAUUCAGUUCCCAGUGCCAAAAAGAAGAAAAACAGUGACCUACAGUCAGGCUUCUAAACAACGGACUGUUUAAGACAAACAUCAGAAACCCCUCGCUCAGGCUGUAACGGUCCUGCAGGCAGAGCCCACGGUGGCACGGGGACCAGAGCCUCACUGGGCAGUUCAGCCUCAAGCCACACAGCUGCCAGCUGGCACCAGGGGCACAGAGUGAGAUCCUGGGAACGUGAGUUGGGAUGUGAGCUUGCCUGGCCGCUGGGCUCUAGGCAGGUCGCCCGACACCCUGGGCUCAGCCUCCUCACCUGCAAACCAGGCUGGCAGAGCAGCAGCUCAGACACAGGGCCACCCCUGUUCCUGCUCGGCCUGGCUGAGCCCUGCCAUGCCCUGGUGUCUGAUUGUCCUUCCACCUGGGGUGACAGGGCCUUUCCCCCGUGUGGCCUCUCACCCCCACCCCUGCCUGCGGACACGGAUACCCCAGCCGCCAUGGUCUGUGCUGCUGUGUGUGCAGUCCACUCUUUCUGUGCUGGCAGGCCCUGGACUUGGCUCGUAGGACCAGGCUUGGACACCUCCUCCUUGAUGGAAAAAUGGGCGUUCUUCAAAUGACUAUCACCUCGCUGAGUCCCAGUCAGGACCUGGUUCCUUCUUCACAAUGCAGACCUUCGGCCCUCACCAUUGCUACGGAGAACUGGCACCACGAGAUGGACUGCUUGGCUCAGCUUCAAGGAGAGAGGACAAUGUAGACAUCACCUCUCGAUGGAAAGAGUACCGAAGAACUUGCGGGUCAGGUCAGGCUCCUCGAGACUCCCCUCGCCUGACACCACAGCCAGUGGCUCCCCAACUGCUUCUGAGCUGAGCCCGAGGCCGCUGAGCCGCAUCUCCCCACUGACUGUGUCCACAGGAGAGGGUCUUGGGCAGCCACGCCUCAGCUGAGGACCCCUGGGCUCCUCUCCCAGCCAGGCCCUUCCCUGUCGGUGCCCAUGGCCGGGCGCCCCAGACCAGGCAGGGGUGGCAUGGAGCUUCUCCCAAUCCUAUCCCCUUUUGUUGCCAGUUCAGUGGGUCCAGGUGGUUGAGUAUCAGAGUGCUCCAUCUCAUUUCCCUUUGGGGUUGCUGUAGGUGAUCUGGG
rnacentral:lncRNA from 1 species